rnacentral:rRNA from 1 species
GGAGACAGGUGGCUGCAUGGCUGUCGUCAGCUCGUGUCGUGAGAUGUUGGGUUAAGUCCCGCAACGAGCGCAACCCUUGCCUUUAGUUGCCAGCAGUUCGGCUGGGCACUCUAAAGGGACUGCCGGUGUUAAACCGGAGGAAGGUGGGGAUGACGUCAAGUCCUCAUGGCCUUUAUGACCAGGGCUACACACGUACUACAAUGGCCGAUACAAAGGGCAGCGACACUGCGAGGUGAAGCCAAUCCCGUAAAAUCGGUCUCAGUCCGGAUUGGAGUCUGCAACUCGACUCCAUGAAGUUGGAACCGCUAGUAAUCGUGGAUCAGCAUGCCACGGUGAAUACGUUCCCGGGCCUU